rnacentral:rRNA from 1 species
CGAACGCUGGCGGCAGGCCUAACACAUGCAAGUCGAGCGGGGGAGCAAUCCCUAGCGGCGGACGGGUUAGUAACGCGUGGGAACAUACCCUUUGGUACGGAAUAGCCUCGGGAAACUGAGAGUAAUACCGUAUGUGCCCUUCGGGGAAAGAUUUAUCGGCAAAGGAUCGGCCCGCGUUGGAUUAGGUAGUUGGUAGGGUAAUGGCCUACCAAGCCGACGAUCCAUAGCUGGUUUGAGAGGAUGAUCAGCCACACUGGGACUGAGACACGGCCCAGACUCCUACGGGAGGCAGCAGUGGGGAAUCUUAGACAAUGGGGGAAACCCUGAUCUAGCCAUGCCGCGUGAGCGAUGAAGGCCUUAGGGUUGUAAAGCUCUUUCAGUGGGGAAGAUAAUGACGGUACCCACAGAAGAAGCCCCGGCUAACUCCGUGCCUGCAG